rnacentral:tRNA from 1 species
AGGAACUUAGGAUAAAUUUAGACCAAGGGCCUUCAAAGCCCUAAGCAGGAGUUAAAAUCUCCUAGUCCCUG